GUUCCCGCCCCACCGGCGGAGAGCGGGAUCCGCCCCCAGCCCCGGCCGCGCAGCGCUCCGGGAGCGGCUGAAAGCGGCUCGGAGGGAAAGGCUUUGGGGUGCCCGUGGAGAGCAACUGGACAUGAGCCAGCAGUGUGCCCGGGGGGGCCAGAAGGCCAAUGGCAUCCUGGCCUUAGCAGGAAUAGUGUGGCCAGCAGGACAAGGGAAGGGAUUCUGCCCCUCUGUUCUGCACUGGUGUGAGUACACACCUGCAGACCUGUGUCCAGUUCUGGACCCCUCAGUUCAAGAAAGACAUUGAGGUGCUGAAGCUUGUCCAGAGAAGGACAGUGGAUAUGGGGAAGGGUCUGGAAUACAAGUGUAAGAGGAGCAGCUGAGGGAGCUCGAGGUGUUUAGCCUGGAGAAAAGGAGGCUCAGGGGAGACCUUACCUGAAAGGAGAUUGUACUGAGGUGGGUGUCGGCCUCUUCUCCCAUGCAACAACCGACAGGGUGAAAGUUAUGAUUAACAGUUCUGAAGGAGACAGAAGAGAACCGCCUUCCCUGCGCUUUACCACCAUUUGUUCUUUCUGCACUUUGUGACAAUGCAGCAGUCACCCUUCACCUGUGGGCAUUGUGAAAUGAUGAGGCAGUAUCCUUCUGUGGAGUACACAUUGAUAAGGCCUUGAGACCAUUAUUCCCUUGGCUAAGCUUUUGUUAGAAGCAAAGAGAUAGGAGCCAUUUUGUCAUAUAGCAGUGCAAAUACGUAAAAUGAGAGAGUUAAGGCUUUUUUUUCCCUGUAUGCCCUUUUUCCCCUAAGGGCUCAAUCUUUUCAUGCUUGCAUCAGUGAAACUCAGGAGUAAUUCUGAUGAGGUCUGUGAAGCUGUAAGAGUGCACAGCUGAUGUAACUGGAGGCGGACACAAUCAAGCAUAAUCCAUAGAAUCACAAAAGUAUUUGGGUUGGAAGGAACCUUAAAGAUCAUCCAGUUCCAAUCCCCCAUUCUAAUAUCCCCCUGGGCUGGGACACCUCCCACUAGACCAGGCUGCUCGGAGCCCCAUCCAACAUGGCCUUGAAUACUGUCAAGGCUGGGACAUCCACCACUUCUCUGGGGAACCUGUUCCAGUGCCUCACCACCCUCACAGUAAAGAAUUUCUUCCUCAAAUCUAAUCUAAACCUAAUCUUUUUUCAGUUUGAAGCCAUUCCCGCUUGUCCUAUCAUUACAGUUCCUGAUGGAAAGUCCCUCUCUAACUUUCUUGUAGACCCUCAUCAGAUACUG